AUUGAACGCUGGCGGCAUGCCUUACACAUGCAAGUCGAACGGUAACGGGCCUUCGGGUGCCGACGAGUGGCGAACGGGUGAGUAAUGUAUCGGAACGUACCUUUCAGUGGGGGAUAACGUAGCGAAAGUUACGCUAAUACCGCAUAUUCUGUGAGCAGGAAAGCAGGGGAUCGCAAGACCUUGCGCUGAUUGAGCGGCCGAUAUCAGAUUAGCUAGUUGGUGAGGUAAAGGCUCACCAAGGCGACGAUCUGUAGCGGGUCUGAGAGGAUGAUCCGCCACACUGGCACUGAGACACGGUCCAGACUCCUACGGGAGGCAGCAGUGGGGAAGUUUGGACAAUGGGGGCAACCCUGAUCCAGCCAUGCCGCGUGAGUGAAGAAGGCCUUCGGGUUGUAAAGCUCUUUCGGCCGGGAAGAAAUCGUAUGGGUUAAUACCCUGUGCGGAUGACGGUACCGGCAUAAGAAGCACCGGCUAACUACGUGCCAGCCGCCGCAGUAAAAC
rnacentral:rRNA from 1 species